ensembl:lncRNA
GGCUGCCCCUCUGUUGGUCUUCCUUGGUCUCUUGUGUUCUGGGGGCCUCUGGAUGUCUGGAGUUUUGAUCUCCUCCAUACCUGCUUCAUGCCCUGGAGGACGGGGCAGUGGCCCCCCACACCCUCUAGCAGAUCAUUACAUGAAGGAACCUUUUAAAAACAAGCGCGUCCAUGCUCACAGGUGUACACACGGGUGCUCACACCCACAAACUACACCCUUUUUGGCUCCUACCUCAAAGCACACUGUGUUCUGUUGAUCUUAUGUGCUGCACAAUAAUGUUUAAUGUUUAGUAUUUACUGUCAUAUUCCCAUAUAUCAUUGUGAUGUUGUUUAUUCUAUUACUCUUGUUCUCUUCUGCUUGUUUUCUUUUUUCUUUCUCAGCAGGUGAUCCAGGUGAUUGAUAUAUGCAUUUUUUUCUUUUUUUUUCUUUUUUCUUUUUCCUGCUUGUUCCCCCGUCCCUCUUCUCAGCUGUUUCUCUUUCCCUCUUUCUUUCUCCCCUUCUUUCCCCCAGUCAAGUCUGUCCCGUAUUCAGCAAGUGAAAAUAAAAUAAACAAUAAAAGGUGAAUCAAAUGGACCAUUACGGCAAGGCUGGGAUGGUCAGUUUGGUAAAGUAAAUCCGUUGGGCAUCUUUCUUUGCCUUUAGACAACAAUUCUGAUGCAAAAGAGCCAAACGGGACAGGCAAAAAAAAAAAAAAAAAAAAAAGGACUAAUAACAGAAGUUCACAAUGCAUUGUCACAACUGGAUGGAACUACCACACUUGACUAUCUGAGAGAGGCCUGGCAGUGUGACCUGGGUACGAGAAUCACAGACAGUCAAUGGACAAAAGCCCAGGAAAAUGUAAACUCUUCCUCUGUUUGCAUUCGUCAUGGACUCUUACAGUUUAAAGUGCUACAUAGACUCCAUUUAUCAAAGUUGAAACUGUCAAAAAUGUUCCCCAAUGUAAACUCGUCCUGCGAAAGAUGUAAACAGCAACCUGCUUCACUGGCGCAUGUGUUUUGGAAUUGUCCCUGUAUAGCAGCAUACUGGAAUAAUGUCUUUCAUAUCUUGUCUAAAAUUCUAAAAAACCACUUAAGCCAGACCCAAUCUGUGCUUUAUUUGGAGUGAAGCCGGUUGUUGUAAACCUGUCAGCCACCCAAAAUAAUGUGAUACAUUUUGUGACGCUGCUGGCACGCCGUUUAAUUCUACUAAAUUGGA